rnacentral:rRNA from 1 species
GAUGAACGCUGGCGGCGUGCUUAACACAUGCAAGUCGAACGGUGAAGCAGAGCUUGCUCUGUGGAUCAGUGGCGGACGGGUGAGUAACACGUGAGCAACCUGCCCUGGACUCUGGGAUAAGCGCUGGAAACGGCGUCUAAUACUGGAUACGAGACGUGGCCGCAUGGUCAACGUUUGGAAAGAUUUCUUGGUUCAGGGUGGGCUCGGGGCCUAUCAGCUUGUUGGUGAGGUAAUGGCUCACCCAGGCGUCGACGGGUAGCCGGCCUGAGAGGGUGACCGGCCACACGGGGACUGAGGCGCGGCCCAGACUCCUACGGGAGGCAGCAGUGGGGAAUAUUGCACAAUGGGCGAAAGCCUGAUGCAGCAACGCCGCGUGAGGGAUGACGGCCUUCGGGUUGUAAACCUCUUUUAGCAAGGAAGAAGCGAAAGUGACGGUACUUGCAGAAAAAGCGCCGGCUAACUACGUGCCAGCCGCCGCAGUAAAAC